rnacentral:rRNA from 1 species
UACGUAGGGUGCAAGCGUUAUCCGGAAUUAUUGGGCGUAAAGAGCUCGUAGGCGGUUUGUCACGUCUGCUGUGAAAACUGGAGGCUCAACCUCCAGCCUGCAGUGGGUACGGGCAGACUAGAGUGCGGUAGGGGAGAUUGGAAUUCCUGGUGUAGCGGUGGAAUGCGCAGAUACUCGAGGAGACACCGGUGGCGAAGGCGGGUCUCUGGGCCGAUAUUGACGCUGAGGAGCGAAAGCGUGGGGAGCGAACAGG